GCCCGCUCUUCUCCUUUCUGCUUCCACAGUAUUCAUAGAGCCAUAUAAGUGUAGGACUGACAGGGAGCUCAAUAGAUCAUCUAGUCUAGGCCUCUGCACUCAAGGCAGGAGUGCACGAAUCAAGGAAGGGUAAGAAUAUCUUUGGAUACAGACUGGCUUAAACUAGUCAGGAAGGCUUUAACUUAGGUUAAGUGGGGACAAGAGACAAAAGCCCACAGGUAAAUCAAAAAACAUGGAGACCUGGGAGAAUGGUUGGAAUCUGGUGCUGAGAGAGGGGAGCAUAGGCAAUCAUAGCAGAGGCAAGAGAGAACACAGAGGGGAAAUCAAAUCUGUAUCUUAGAUGUCUGUAUACUAAUGCAAGAAGAAUGGGGAAUAAACAAGAAGAACUAGAAAUAUUAGUGAAUAAGCACUACUCUGACAGACAGUCAGAUCAUCCUGGGAUGGCCAAAAGUAGUCUUUUGUUGAAUGAGGACUAGGAUGGAACUGGAGCAACCAGAGGCAAACUGGGAAGAGAAGAGUAAGGAAAAUAAAAACCACAUGGAAAAGACUAGUAAAAAGAAAAAGAUGAGGGGACGAGGACAGAAAAGGAGAAAUGAGAGAAAUGGCAUAGAAAGAAGCAGAGAUGGCAGCCACUGUAUCAGGACAUGGUGAGAAGGGUGAUGGGAAGAUAGAUUGACCAGUCCACCCCAUGGGGAGUUGUGACAGGGUGUAUUAGGUCCUUUGAACCCCUGCUGGAGGAAUUAUGGUCCUACCACACCUUACCCCAAAAAGGCAGGAGUAGAGUUGGUCCUCCAGCCUGCAUAGAGAGGCUGCAGGGAGCAGCCAAUCAGAGCCCAGUAGGCUCCUAUAAAAAGUAAGGAUGGUUGGCCACAGUACUUAAACAGAGCAGUUGCUGGCUGGAGUAAGGAGGGCAUUCUUGGUCAGCUUCUUCAGCCCUAGCUUAAGGGUGAAGUGUGUGCGCCUUGGCCGGAGGGCUGAGUCAGUGGAAACCUGCUUGAGAGCUUAACUGCCAACAGAGGACCCUGCGAGCAGAGCAGAGAGUGCAGGUGCAGACACACCCGACAGGAGGCACUCGCAGGAAACAAGUGGCCCCCCCUCACAGAGGCCCUUCCCAGGAAAAGAAUGAAGACUGAAGUUUCUGUCCUAGUUACAAAGCUUUAACCACAUUGGGUCAUAUUCUCAACCUGGUGGAAAUCGACAUAGCACCAUCAGGGUCUAUUGAGGCAUGCCACUUGACACAAGCUAAGGAGCUGGCCCACAGGUUUUAAUGCACAGAAAAUCUUUUCCUUACUGGUUUGAGUCAGCUAUUAGCUUAACUCUUUCUCCAUCCAAUAUUGACUGAUUGAUUGAAUUUAUUUUUUAAUUCUGUAUAACAAACUAUUGGUGUUGACUGAGUAUAUUGUUUUGUUGAUUUGAUAAAUCCAUGUAUAAUUCUGAUUUCAGUUCUACAACAGGACACAACUGAAUGCCAUUUUAUUAAACUCUCUUUUUCAAGUUCACAGUAUGCACCAUGUAAUUUAAAGCAAAAUGUGAAGAUUAGCCCAAAAGGAAUGUAAAUUGUUUGUGUAUAAAUUACCUCUUGUACGUUUAAUGCUUCCUUUAUUUUAUGAUUGAACUUUUCAGUGCUCAAAAAUCCUGUUAACUAACACACUGGCUGUUCAUGCAUGAACUUCCUAUAAUCAGGACUGUUGGACUUGCUUUACCAGGACAGAAGAAUGAUCCAUACAGUCUGGUAACCUGUCUGAGAAUAGCCUACAUAGGAUACUUCAGAGGAAAGCCCAGAUACCCAUAAUACUCAAUCAAACAUUUAUUCAGACCUUUUCUUCUAUAGAACUGAAAGUGGUUUACAAAGGUGGCUAAGUAUCUUUGGCCAAAAUUUUCAAAUUUGGGUAGGUAAAAUUGGGCUCCUAAUGCCCUAAUUAGAUUGUGAAAUAAAAAUUCUCAGCAGUCCUAAGCAACCUGAGCUCUUUUACUGAUCAAUGGCAUCCCCAUGCUGUAAAAUUAGCGGUUAAAGUACAUCAACAUACAAGGAGAACUUAAAUUUAUAGUGGCUGUCAGAGGUCUUGAAAUCAUAUGGGAAUGAGGUGUCAUUUUUACCUUCUGACAGCAGCCUGCAGCAAGGGGAACAAUCUGGGGGACUAAUUAUGGCUUUAUACAACACCAAUCACUGUACU